UAUUCAGAUAUAAGAUAGAAAAAAAUCUAAACUAAAAGGUUGGAAGAAAAUAUAUGGUUGUUUAUGUUUAAAUUCGAUUUUUUCGUUUGAUCGAGAUGAAACAAUAGGUUUACAUUGUAUAAAAUGAAUUUUACUACUUAGAUAGAAUUCUUUUUUCUUCUUUUGGUGGGUCAAAUUACCUUCAUGAAAAAAUGAGUAGAAAAUGAUUAAAAAAAAGUUGCAUACAACCGGCCAAAGAAAGGUUCGAAGCAUCUAAGAGAAUGUUAUUAUGAGAGAGAUAUGGCGUAAAAGUAAGGAAAUCAAAAUUAAUAUAUAAUAUUCUUUCUUUCUUCUUUUUCUCUUCCAAAUCGAACAUCCUGAUUUAAAUAUUUUUAUAAUUCUCUCGAUUUGGGUUUCUCCAGAUCUCCUUUUGUUAUCUUUGUGUUCGGAUCCGUCUCCUUAGUGCACUGGCGAGUUUCAUCUCCCUAAUCGGCUAUUUCAUAGUGGCAUCAGUUAAUGGGUUUAAUGCCAACUAAAAAGAAAAAAAGAUUUGAUUUCAAUGGAAUCAGAUCAGGUUAGACAGAGGCAGGAGGUCGCUGAAGCUGGACGUCAUAAGCUGGAGCAGUUCCGUAAGCAAAAAUCAGCCAAAAAAGCAUCGCAGUCACACCACCACACAGCCUAAUGUUGCUGAUUCAGAUGGAUUUGAUGGUCCACCUUCAAUCUCUAAUGAAGCUCCUUUUAAACGCCAAGUCUUCAUUUCUUUGGGGCAUGUGUCGUUUUCAUCCAAAGAUGGAAGCAAAGAAAGAAGCCUAAGAGAUGAUUUUGAGAUUAAAAAUACUGACAUAUUUAUAUCCGAAAACACACCAACUCACUGACGUAAGCAAGGGAUUGAAGACCUCAUCAUGGGUGACCGAAUUGAUGGGGAGUUAUCACGAAAAAGCACAAACUCGAACCGUUUCAGAGAUUUAGGAGAAGUUCAGUAGUUGCAGUCGCCACAGAAAAAAGGGAAAGAGAAACAUUACUUUUUGGCUGCAUUAGAUCUAGGGUUUCCAAGAAUAGGCUGACGGACCUCACACAGAAUCUGUAAUUUGUAGCCCAAUACCAUACAGUUUUACACAUACGGUUAAAAGCCUAUUAAAUUUUCAAAUUAAAUGAAGUGCGGCGUUUUGACU